rnacentral:rRNA from 1 species
UACGGAGGGGGCGAGCGUUAUUCGGAAUUAUUGGGCGUAAAGGGCGCGUAGGCGGCUUGUUAAGUCAAAGGUGAAAUCCCUCGGCUCAACUGAGGAACUGCCUUUGAAGCUAGCGAGCUUGAGGCCGGGAGGGGGUAGCGGAAUUCCCAGUGUAGCGGUGAAAUGCGUAGAUACUGGGAGGCACACCAGUGGCGAAGGCGGCUACCUGGACCGGUACUGACGCUGAGGCGCGAAAGCCAGGGGAGCAAACGGG